GCUACAAAAUGAAUCAUCUGAGCUGUCAAAAGAUAUUUUCGAAAAGAAAAUAAUGGGCCCGGAAAAAGCUAUAUUGUAGAAGAUGCAAUGGGUUGGUGUUUAUCCCGGUCUUAAGAAAGAAAGAUUCCAGAUUUGCUGCUGUUCUCUAGACAUUUCUCCUCAACUAUUUAAUUGUUGGAAUUGGAAUAGAACGAGAAAUCCGUGGAUGCUGAACCAACCAUGGCCAAAAAGGCAGUGAAAAUGUACUUGUGAACACCAAAAGAAAAUCGAACGGGAAGUUACCCAAACCCAAGAAAAGAAUAAAAACACAGAAAAAUGAGAAAAACGGAAUUUUUAAUCCUUCUAUUUUGAAACAUCAACAAAAUUUGUGUAUAAUUUACGUAGCUCAGCCUCUUGGCAAGGCUCUAAUUUGAUAACUAUCAUGCUGGGUUUCGCGCAUUUGAUUGUUUCGGGUAGCGAAAAGCUUUUCUCCAUAACAGCCG